rnacentral:rRNA from 1 species
AGAAUCAACGCUGGCGGCGUGCCUAACACAUGCAAGUCGCACGAGAAAGGGGCUUCGGCUCUGAGUAAAGUGGCGCACGGGUGAGUAACACGUGAAUAAUCUACCUCCGAGUGGGAAUAACUGAGAGAAAUCUUAAGCUAAUACCGCAUAACACUUACGAGUCAAAGCAGCAAUGCGCUUGGAGAGGAGUUCGCGGCCGAUUAGUUAGUUGGCGGGUAAUGGCCCACCAAGACGAUGAUCGGUA